rnacentral:piRNA from 1 species
UACCAGAAAUGCGCAGUGAAUAUGUGAUG